CAGCAAUGCGUGGCAUACGGCUCAGUAACACGUAGUCAACAUGCCCAGGGGACGUGGAUAACCUCGGGAAACUGAGGAUAAACCGCGAUAGGCCAAGGUUUCUGGAAUGGACACUGGCUGAAACCUAUAUGGCCCCUGGAUUGGACUGCGGCCGAUCAGGCUGUUGGUGAGGUAAUGGCCCACCAAACCUGUAACCGGUACGGGCUUUGAGAGAAGGAGCCCGGAGAUGGGCACUGAGACAAGGGCCCAGGCCCUAUGGGGCGCAGCAGGCGCGAAAAUUCUGCAAUAGGCGAAAGCUUGACAGAGUUACUCUGAGUGAUGCCCGCUAAGGGCAUCUUUUGGCACCUCUAAAAAUGGUGCAGAAUAAGGGGUGGGCAAGUCUGGUGUCAGCCGCCGCGGUAAUACCAGCACCCCGAGUGGUCGGGACGAUUAUUGGGCCUAAAGCAUCCGUAGCUUGUUCUGCAAGUCUUCCGUUAAAUCCACCUGCUCAACAGAUGGGCUGCGGGAGAUACUACAGGGCUAGGAGGCGGGAGAGGCAAGCGGUACUCAGUGGGUAGGGGUAAAAUCCUCUGAUCCACUGAAGACCACCAGUGGCGAAGGCGGCUUGCCAGAAUGCGCUCGACGGUGAGGGAUGAAAGCUGGGGGAGCAAGCCGGAUUAGAUACCCGGGUAGUCCCAGCUGUAAAC
rnacentral:rRNA from 1 species